rnacentral:rRNA from 1 species
GCGGUGAAGUCAGACCGGAAGGACUGGUGGAGCGCUUAGAAGUGAGAAUGCCGGUAUGAGUAGCGAAAGAAGGGUGAGAAUCCCUUCCACCGAAUAUCUAAGGUUUCCUGAGGAAGGCUCGUCCGCUCAGGGUUAGUCGGGACCUAAGCCGAGGCCGAUAGGCGUAGGCGAUGGACAACAGGUAGAGAUUCCUGUACCAGUGCUAAUUGUUUAACCGAUGGGGUGACACAGAAGGAUAGGGAAUCGCACGAAUGGAAAUGUGCGUCCAAGCAGUGAGUGUGAGAAGUAGGCAAAUCCGCUUCUCGCGAAGCAUGAGCUGUGAUGGGGAAGGAAAUUAAGUACGGAAGUUCCUGAUUUCACGCUGUCAAGAAAAGCCUCUAGGAAGAGUAGUACUGCCCGUACCGCAAACCGACACAGGUAGAUGAGGAGAGAAUCCUAAGGUGAGCGAGAGAACUCUCGUUAAGGAACUCGGCAAAAUGACCCCGUAACUUCGGGAGAAGGGGUGCUCUAUUAGGGUGCAAGCCCGAGAGAGCCGCAGUGAAUAGGCCCAGGCGACUGUUUAGCAAAAACACAGGUCUCUGCAAAACCGUAAGGUGACGUAUAGGGGCUGACGCCUGCCCGGUGCUGGAAGGUUAAGAGGAGUGCUUAGCUUCGGCGAAGGUACGAAUUGAAGCCCCAGUAAACGGCGGCCGUAACUAUAACGGUCCUAAGGUAGCGAAAUUCCUUGUCGGGUAAGUUCCGACCCGCACGAAAGGCGCAACGAUCUGGGCACUGUCUCAACGAGAGACUCGGUGAAAUUAUAGUACCUGUGAAGAUGCAGGUUACCCGCGACAGGACGGAAAGACCCCGUGGAGCUUUACUGCAACCUGAUAUGGAAUGUUUGUACCGCUUGUACAGGAUAGGUAGGAGCCGAAGAGACGUGUGCGCUAGCAUACGAGGAGGCAAUGGUGGGAUACUACCCUGGCUGUAUGACCAUUCUAACCCGCCACGCUUAGCGCGUGGGGAGACAGUGUCAGGUGGGCAGUUUGACUGGGGCGGUCGCCUCCUAAAGAGUAACGGAGGCGCCCAAAGGUUCCCUCAGAAUGGAUGGAAAUCAUUCGCAGAGUGUAAAGGCACAAGGGAGCUUGACUGCGAGACUGACAAGUCGAGCAGGGACGAAAGUCGGGCUUAGUGAUCCGGUGGUUCCGCAUGGAAGGGCCAUCGCUCAACGGAUAAAAGCUACCCCGGGGAUAACAGGCUUAUCUCCCCCAAGAGUCCACAUCGACGGGGAGGUUUGGCACCUCGAUGUCGGCUCGUCGCAUCCUGGGGCUGUAGUCGGUCCCAAGGGUUGGGCUGUUCGCCCAUUAAAGCGGCACGCGAGCUGGGUUCAGAACGUCGUGAGACAGUUC